rnacentral:misc_RNA from 1 species
GAUGAAGAACGUAGCGAAAUGCGAUAAGUAGUGUGAAUUGCAGAAUUCAGUGAAUCAUCGAAUCUUUGAACGCACAUUGCGCCCUUUGGUAUUCCUUAGGGCAUGCCUGUUCGAGCGUCAUUUAAACCUUCAAGCUCAGCUUGGUGUUGGGUGACUGUCCGCUUCACCGCGGACUCGCCUCAAAAUUAUUGGCGGCCGGUACAUUGGCUUCGAGCGCAGCAGAAACGCGAACUCGGGCCCGUCGUAUUGGCUCCCAGAAGCUAUCUUCACGAUUUUGACCUCGGAUCAGGUAGGGAUACCCGCUGAACUUAAGCAUAUCAAUAAGCGGAGGA